GGGUAAGGACUGUCUUGGCUCUCAUCACUCACCUGUGUUCAGUGGAAGCAGUGUGAUUGGGGGCCUCUUUUCCACGACUGAGCCAUUCCCAGCAUCUCCUCCAUCAUCUUGCAACAAUGCUCACUCUGACAACUAAACCUGCCCCCAUGAAGGGAUGCCUCUGCAGAUAAUGCACUCCCAAGGUUUGCUCCUGUCAUGAUCUGGCAGUGCAUGACACAGACCAAAUGUCUUCGUCAAAGACAAAAGCCUUGAGGACCAGGAGCAGAAGAGUCAUGACUCUCAGUGUCUCCCUGACAUGGCUGUAAUCUCACAGCAGGCUGUGCCCUCCACUCCCAGGGGAUGCCUCACCUUUCCACACCAUCAACAAGGAGAAAACAUUCAACAAGCUCCUCUAAUGUGAGACUUGCUGUCAGGAGAGUGGGACUGUGACAGAUCCAUCAGAGUCUUGCUCACUUUGAGACCUCCCUUCAUCUUCCCCAAUGCGGGAAUGAAAAGCCCAGUCCCAAGAGUCUUUCCCUGAACCCCACAACAAGCAAACAGCUCCAUCCCAGCACUGCUAUGAGCUGCUGUGACCAUGCAAGUCAGGGACACCUCUGCUAUCCCCCUUGAGUGACCCAGCAGAAAGUUCUUCUGGAUACCCAGAGCUGGACCUGCCUCCACUGGAGUAGAUAACUACAGAUGCCCAAACGCUCCUGCUCAUGGCACACCCUGAUGCCUCGUCUGCAUGGUCCCUGUCACAGAGCACAGGGAGGCGAUGCAGCUCCUUUCUGGCCAUGGGAUACCCUCCAUCUCCCUUUCCUGGCUUGAGAGGGAUGUUUCUCCAUGGCCCUCAGCAACACCCAACGUGUGCCUAAGGACAAGGACCUCAGCUGCUACAUCCAGGGGGAGGGAGGACAUAUUUCAGACCAUGACCUCCAUCCCUCCCCAGCACCAAGACACACCUUUACCUAUGUCAAUAAAUUAUUACAUAAAAGCA